GACGAACGCUGGCGGCGUGCCUAACACAUGCAAGUCGACAUGAGUGGCGAAGGGUUGAGUAAUACGUGGGUAACCUGCCCUCCUUUUUGGGUUAAGCCUUGGAAACGGGGUCCAAUACCGAAUAAAGGGGGAUGGGCUCGCGGCCUAUCAGCUUGUUGGUGUGGUGAUGGCCUACCAAGGCGGUGACGGGUAGCCGGCCUGAGAGGGUGACCGGGCACAUGGGGACGGCGAUACGGCCCAGGCUCGUACGGGAGGGAGAAGUGGGGGAUAUUGCACAAUGGGCGAAAGCCAGAUGCAGCGACGCCGCGUGGGGGUUGAGGGCUUUCGGGUUGUUAACCUGUGUCGCAAUCGAGCGGGUAGGUGGAGAAGAAGCGCCGGCUAACUACGUGCCAGCAGCCGCGGUAAUAC
rnacentral:rRNA from 1 species